rnacentral:misc_RNA from 1 species
UCUCCGUUGGUGAACCAGCGGAGGGAUCAUUACAGAGUUGCAAAACUCCCAACCCUUGUGAACAUACCCGUUACAGUUGCUUCGGCGGGCAGCCCCAGGGCGGGGCUGCAGCCUCUUCUCACGAGGCGCCCGCCGGAGGUAUAUAACUCUUUGUAUUUGUUGGUCUCUCUGAGUAAAUUUAUAAUAAGUCAAAACUUUUAACAACGGAUCUCUUGGUUCUGGCAUCGAUGAAGAAGCAGC